rnacentral:rRNA from 1 species
CCCUUAGAUGAUUUGGGCUGCACGCGCGCUACACUGACCCUAACAAUGAGCAACUGUCUGGCCUGAGAUGGCUGGGUAGCCUUUUCAACCCAUGUCAUGAUUGGGCUAGAUUUUUGUAAGUCUUGAUCUCUAACGAGGAAUCCCUAGUAUGCGUGAAUCAUCAAUCCAUGCAGAUUAUGUCCCUGCCCUUUGUACACACCGCCCGUCGCUCCUACCGAUUGAGUGCUCAGGUGAAUAAUUCGGACUGCAGCAAUGUUUGGAUCCCGAACGUUGCAGCGGAAAGUUUAGUGAACCUUAUCACUUAGAGGAAGGAGAAGUCGUAACA